ensembl:snRNA LOC120101112 U2 spliceosomal RNA
AUCGCUUCUCGGCCUUUUGGCUAAGAUCAAGUGUAAAAUGCUUAAAUGUCACUUUUAUUUCUUCAGAUGAUGGGAUGAGAUGAGAGCCAUACACAAGCUGUGCAAAUACAAGGCUUGGACUGAGA